ACGAACGCUGGCGGCGUGCCUAAUACAUGCAAGUAGAACGCUGAAGGAGGAGCUUGCUUCUCUGGAUGAGUUGCGAACGGGUGAGUAACGCGUAGGUAACCUGCCUGGUAGCGGGGGAUAACUAUUGGAAACGAUAGCUAAUACCGCAUAAUAGCAGUUAUUGCAUGAUAACUGUUUGAAAGGUGCAAUUGCACCACUACCAGAUGGACCUGCGUUGUAUUAGCUAGUUGGUGGGGUAACGGCUCACCAAGGCGACGAUACAUAGCCGACCUGAGAGGGUGAUCGGCCACACUGGGACUGAGACACGGCCCAGACUCCUACGGGAGGCAGCAGUAGGGAAUCUUCGGCAAUGGACGGAAGUCUGACCGAGCAACGCCGCGUGAGUGAAGAAGGUUUUCGGAUCGUAAAGCUCUGUUGUAAGAGAAGAACGAGUGUGAGAGUGGAAAGUUCACACUGUGACGGUAGCUUAACAGAAAGGGACGGCUAACUACGCG
rnacentral:rRNA from 1 species